GGAUUAGAUACCCUGGUAGUCCACGCCGUAAACGAUGAGUACUUGGUGUCGGGGGAUUCGACCCCCUCGGUGCCGCAGCUAACGCGUUAAGUACUCCGCCUGGGGACUACGACCGCAAGGUUGAAACUCAAAGGAAUUGACGGGGACCCGCACAAGCGGUGGAACAUGUGGUUUAAUUCGAUGCAACGCGAAGAACCUUACCUGGACUUGACAUGUUAGUGAAACUUCCGUGAAAGCGGGAGCCUCUGCGAGCUUGCUCAAAGACACUAUCACAGGUGAUGCAUGGCUGUCGUCAGCUCGUGCCG
rnacentral:rRNA from 1 species